rnacentral:rRNA from 1 species
GACGAACGCUGGCGGCGUGCUUAACACAUGCAAGUCGAACGGAAAGGCCCUGCUUUUGUGGGGUGCUCGAGUGGCGAACGGGUGAGUAACACGUGAGUAACCUGCCCUUGACUUUGGGAUAACUUCAGGAAACUGGGGCUAAUACCGGAUAGGAGCUCCUGCUGCAUGGUGGGGGUUGGAAAGUUUCGGCGGUUGGGGAUGGACUCGCGGCUUAUCAGCUUGUUGGUGGGGUAGUGGCUUACCAAGGCUUUGACGGGUAGCCGGCCUGAGAGGGUGACCGGCCACAUUGGGACUGAGAUACGGCCCAGACUCCUACGGGAGGCAGCAGUGGGGAAUAUUGCACAAUGGGCGGAAGCCUGAUGCAGCAACGCCGCGUGCGGGAUGACGGCCUUCGGGUUGUAAACCGCUUUCGCCUGUGACGAAGCGUGAGUGACGGUAAUGGGUAAAGAAGCACCGGCUAACUACGUGCCAGCAGCCGCGGUGAUACGUAGGGUGCGAGCGUUGUCCGGAUUUAUUGGGCGUAAAGGGCUCGUAGGUGGUUGAUCGCGUCGGAAGUGUAAUCUUGGGGCUUAACCCUGAGCGUGCUUUCGAUACGGGUUGACUUGAGGAAGGUAGGGGAGAAUGGAAUUCCUGGUGGAGCGGUGGAAUGCGCAGAUAUCAGGAGGAACACCAGUGGCGAAGGCGGUUCUCUGGGCCUUUCCUGACGCUGAGGAGCGAAAGCGUGGGGAGCGAACAGGCUUAGAUACCCUGGUAGUCCACGCUGUAAACGGUGGGUACUAGGUGUGAGGUCCAUUCCACGGGUUCCGUGCCGUAGCUAACGCUUUAAGUACCCCGCCUGGGGAGUACGGCCGCAAGGCUAAAACUCAAAGGAAUUGACGGGGCCCCGCACAAGCGGCGGAGCAUGCGGAUUAAUUCGAUGCAACGCGUAGAACCUUACCUGGGUUUGACAUGGAUCGGGAGUGCUCAGAGAUGGGUGUGCCUCUUUUGGGGUCGGUUCACAGGUGGUGCAUGGCUGUCGUCAGCUCGUGUCGUGAGAUGUUGGGUUAAGUCCCGCAACGAGCGCAACCCUUGUUCACUGUUGCCAGCACGUUAUGGUGGGGACUCAGUGGAGACCGCCGGGGUCAACUCGGAGGAAGGUGGGGGUGACGUCAAGUCAUCAUGCCCCUUAUGUCCAGGGCUUCACGCAUGCUACAAUGGCUGGUACAGAGAGUGGCGAGCCUGUGAGGGUGAGCGAAUCUCGGAAAGCCGGUCUCAGUUCGGAUUGGGGUCUGCAACUCGACCUCAUGAAGUCGGAGUCGCUAGUAAUCACAGAUCAGCAACGCUGCGGUGAAUACGUUCCCGGG